GACGAACGCUGGCGGCGUGCCUAAUACAUGCAAGUAGAACGCUGAAGGAGGAGCUUGCUUCUCUGGAUGAGUUGCGAACGGGUGAGUAACGCGUAGGUAACCUGCCUGGUAGCGGGGGAUAACUAUUGGAAACGAUAGCUAAUACCGCAUAAGAGUAGAUGUCGCAUGACAUUUGCUUAAAAGGUGCAAUUGCAUCACUACCAGAUGGACCUGCGUUGUAUUAGCUAGUUGGUGAGGUAACGGCUCACCAAGGCAACGAUACAUAGCCGACCUGAGAGGGUGAUCGGCCACACUGGGACUGAGACACGGCCCAGACUCCUACGGGAGGCAGCAGUAGGGAAUCUUCGGCAAUGGACGGAAGUCUGACCGAGCAACGCCGCGUGAGUGAAGAAGGUUUUCGGAUCGUAAAGCUCUGUUGUAAGAGAAGAACGAGUGUGAGAGUGGAAAGUUCACACUGUGACGGUAGCUUACCAGAAAGAGACGGCUAACUACGUG
rnacentral:rRNA from 1 species